GCGGAUGUGGCGAAAUUGGUAGACGCACCAGACUUAGGAUCUGGCGCCGUGAGGCGUGGGGGUUCGAUUCCCUUCAUCCGCACCA
rnacentral:tRNA from 1 species